AUACGAAGGGGGCUAGCGUUGUUCGGAAUCACUGGGCGUAAAGCGCGCGUAGGUGGAUCAAUUAGUUGAGGGUGAAAUCCCGGGGCUCAACCUCGGAACUGCCUUCAAUACUGUUGCUCUUGAGACCGAGGGAGGUGAGUGGAAUUCCUAGUGUAGAGGUGAAAUUCGUAGAUAUUAGGAAGAACACCAGUGGCGAAGGCGGCUCACUGGCUCGGUACUGACGCUGAGGUGCGAAAGCGUGGGGAGCAAACAGGAUUAGAAACCCUAGUAGUCC
rnacentral:rRNA from 1 species